AAUUAUAAAAAUUAAUUUUAUUAGUUUUAAUAAAUUUCUAAAAAUAAUUUUAAAUUAAAAUUUAUUAGGUGAAAUUUUAAAUUUUAAUAAAAAAUUUAUUUAUUUAGUGAUUUUAAGAAAUUUAAAUUUUAAACUAGGAUUAGAUACCCUAUUAUUUUAAACGUUAAAUUAAAAUGCUAAAUUAGUAUUAGUUAUGUUCUUGAAAAUUAAAGAUUUUGGCGGUAUUUUAGUCUAUUCAGAGGAACCUGUUCUAUAAUUGAUAAUCCACGAUUUAAUUUACUUUUUUUAUUAAUUUAUAUAUCAUCGUAGUUUGAAUAUUUUAAAAGAAUAUUAAUAUUCAUAAUAUUUUUUAAAUAAAAAAUCAGAUCAAGGUAUAGUUUAUAAAAAAGAAGAAAUGGGUUACAAUAAAUUUAUUUAAGGAUAUUUUUUUUUAAAAAAGAUUGAAUUUGGAUUUGAAAGUAAUUUAAUUAAAAUUAUUUAAAUGAUUUAAGCUCUAAAAUAUGUACAUAUUGCCCGUCGCUUUCACUUUAAGGUGAAAUAAGUCGUAACAAAGUAGGCUUACUGGAAAGUGAGCCUAGAAAGAACAAAUUAGAGCUUGAUAUAAAGUAUUUUAUUUACAUUAAAAAGUGAAUUGUGAAAUUCAAUUUAAUUUGAAAAAUAAAAAUUAUUUAUUUGAAAAAUUAUAAAUAAAAUUAAAAUAAAAAAAUUUAUUUUUAUUAUUAAAAAAGAAAAAAUUUUAUUUAUUAUAGUUUAUUAGUAUUAUAAAAGAAAUUUUUAUAUUUAUUAUUAAGAAUAAUUAAUUUUU
rnacentral:rRNA from 1 species